GCGCCAGAUGGGGCGGGAGGAGGGGAGACCCGGCACCCACCGGCCCAGAGCUGCCUGACGCGGCCUGGGCGGACCCCGCCGCCCGGGUGCCUAGGCACGAUUCCAGGGAUCCAGGGUAAAGCGGUUCGCGCGGGAACAGGAGGAUAUGUCAGGCACAGGCUAUUCCCCAUCACUAUAGCCACAGAGGACUGGUCCAGAUGCGGAUCCCGAUCUGUGCUUCUUCAGAUGGUUGGAUACCAAGAAAGCUGCUCAGGAAACCUUACAACACAAUGGAAAAAACAUUGGAGCUCCUGGUUAAGCCUUCAGACUCCAGGAGGCACACCAUUGGGCUCCUCAAGUUCUCACCCCUUUGGUCUCAGACUGAAUUAUACCACCAACUUCCCUGGUUCUCCACCUUGCAGAUGGCAGAUUGUGGAACUUCUUGGCCUCCAUAGUUGCAUGAAGCAAUUCUCAUAUUAAUUCGCCACUUACAUAUCUAUACAUAUUCUCUUGGGUCUGUUUCUCUGGAGAACCCUGACUUAUACAUGACCUUCAUGUAUAGCUAAAUAACAAUGUAUUAAUAUUUUCCACAGAGGUGUCAUGUCUCUGUAUAUUAAAUGAUCCAAGGCCAGGCGCGGUGGCUCACGCCUGUAAUCC
rnacentral:lncRNA from 1 species